GCGUGAUUAGCUCAGCUGGGAGAGCAUCUGCCUUACAAGCAGAGGGUCGGCGGUUCGAUCCCGUCAUCACCCACCA
rnacentral:tRNA from 1 species